AGAGUUUGAUCCUGGCUCAGGACGAACGCUGGCGGCGUGCUUAACACAUGCAAGUCGAACGGAAAGGCCCUUCGGGGUACUCGAGUGGCGAACGGGUGAGUAACACGUGGGUGAUCUGCCCUGCACUUUGGGAUAAGCCUGGGAAACUGGGUCUAAUACCGAAUAUGACCAUGCACUUCCUGGUGUGUGGUGGAAAGCUUUUGCGGUGUGGGAUGGGCCCGCGGCCUAUCAGCUUGUUGGUGGGGUAAUGGCCUACCAAGGCGACGACGGGUAGCCGGCCUGAGAGGGUGUCCGGCCACACUGGGACUGAGAUACGGCCCAGACUCCUACGGGAGGCAGCAGUGGGGAAUAUUGCACAAUGGGCGAAAGCCUGAUGCAGCGACGCCGCGUGGGGGAUGACGGCCUUCGGGUUGUAAACCUCUUUCACCAUCGACGAAGGUCCGGGUCUUCUCGGGCUGACGGUAGGUGGAGAAGAAGCACCGGCCAACUACGUGCCAGCAGCCGCGGUAAUACGUAGGGUGCGAGCGUUGUCCGGAAUUACUGGGCGUAAAGAGCUCGUAGGUGGUUUGUCGCGUUGUUCGUGAAAUCUCACGGCUUAACUGUGAGCGUGCGGGCGAUACGGGCAGACUUGAGUACUGCAGGGGAGACUGGAAUUCCUGGUGUAGCGGUGGAAUGCGCAGAUAUCAGGAGGAACACCGGUGGCGAAGGCGGGUCUCUGGGCAGUAACUGACGCUGAGGAGCGAAAGCGUGGGGAGCGAACAGGAUUAGAUACCCUGGUAGUCC
rnacentral:rRNA from 1 species